rnacentral:rRNA from 1 species
AGCAGCCACGGUAAUACGAAGGGUGCAAGCGUUAAUCGGAAUUACUGGGCGUAAAGCGUGCGUAGGCGGUGAGUUAAGUCUGCUGUGAAAUCCCCGGGCUCAACCUGGGAAUGGCAGUGGAUACUGGCUCGCUAGAGUGUGUCAGAGGAUGGUGGAAUUCCCGGUGUAGCGGUGAAAUGCGUAGAGAUCGGGAGGAACAUCAGUGGCGAAGGCGGCCAUCUGGGACAACACUGUCGCUGAGGCACGAAAGCGUGGGGAGCAAACAGGAUUAGAUACCCCAGUAGUCCCUGUCUCUUAUACU